rnacentral:lncRNA from 1 species
AUUUUCUUUAAUUUGUAGUUUAUGGUGAUUUCUUUCCUCAUUGUAAAUGUAAGUUUUAUAACUCAUUUUGUAUUCACAAAUUUGGGUUCUUUUUCUUAAACAGAGCCCCCAAAUUGUGUAAGUUUUAGCCCCCACAAAACCUGGACCUUCCCCUGAUUUAUGCCCAUUUCGCAGGUGAGAAAACAAACUCUGGCCAAGUCUCGCCCUUACCCUGGAUCACACUGUUAGAAAGUGACAGAGCCGGGACACAAAGCCAGUGCUUUUCCUUCCUCACGAUACUGGCUCGUUCUCCCAGAGCCUGAAUGCAUUGGAUAAACCCCCUACAUUUCCUCUGCGGAGGCAGAAAGAAAGCAAGAUAGAGCAAUUGAAAAACGCAGAGGACUCGCUCAGGUUUCUAAGAGGGAUUCAGCGCGGCUUAUAGCGUCCUUCCCAUCCCCCUCAGGACCCUCGUCUGAACAGAAUUCAGUUGACGGGCAGCACUGGCGGCCCUGUCCCAGACUCAGAGUCAAGUACAUCCAUGGGAGGUAAAGACUGGGCACAACAAACGUGCUCUGGGAAUUCCUGCUCGCAGCUUCCUCCUGAGCACCUGCUGCCUGCCAGGCGCUCACCCCUGUACUUGUCUUUAUCCACAUGAACGUUUCUCCUUUUUUUUAAGGCCGAGCAGGUAGAAUACUCAGAGUGGCAUGUCCAGUAUCACAGGGCUGGUAAGAAACAGACACAGGCUGCAAACCAGAAAUCCUCCAAAGCCCUCUCCCAUUCGCCAGGAGGCUGCGGAAUUCAGACAGAUAAUCACCUUCUCAGGCCUGGAGGCAAAGCCGGAGAACCGUUAGUGGAAAGCGGAGAGGGAGGAGACUGAGGCACAGAGAGGCAGAAUCCCCCCAAAAGAAAUUUCCUUCAGGAAGAUGUCACCAUGCCCAGCGCCCUUUGAACACAAGGAACUCAGCGGGAGAGGAGGUGACGUGCCAAUCACUAGGAUGUCAGCGUCCACUUGUCCAUCAGAGGCUCCUGCAUCCCAGUCACGCAAGUAUCCGUUCACGUAGUCAUUUGUUCUGCAUUUGCUCAAGCACGUCAAGCCGCCGGCUUCCUGGCCAAGUGUGGGAGAGACGAGGGGAGAGACCUGGGCUCCCGUAAGUGGCACUAAGAGGACACAAGGCACAAGUGGGAGGAGAAUAGAAGACGGGGAUCUAAGGAAGGGAGCGUGGGCAACAUUUAAUUAAAUUGUGAAUACGUUUCAAGCUUUCUUUUCUUUACAAUGAGGCUCUGCCUGAUUGAAUUUCAGAA